rnacentral:rRNA from 1 species
UACGAGUGCCUCAAGCGUUAUCCGGAAUCAUUGGGCGUAAAGGGUGUGUAGGUGGUCGUAUUAGUCUCUCGUUAAAUUCUUCGGCUUAACCGGGGGCAUGCGGGGGAAACGGUACGACUAGAGGAUGCAAGGGGUCUGCGGAACUCAUGAGUGUAGCGGUGAAAUGCGUUGAUAUUAUGGGGAACACCAAAAGCGAAGGCAGCAGACUAGGGCACUCCUGACACUGAAACACGAAAGCGUGGGUAGCGAAUGGG